rnacentral:misc_RNA from 1 species
GGGCGCCCAACCUCCCACCCGUGACUACCUAACACUGUUGCUUCGGCGGGGAGCCCUCUCGGGGGCGAGCCGCCGGGGACUACUGAACUUCAUGCCUGAGAGUGAUGCAGUCUGAGUCUGAAUAUAAAAUCAGUCAAAACUUUCAACAAUGGAUCUCUUGGUUCCGGCAUCGAUGAAGAACGCAGCGAACUGCGAUAAGUAAUGUGAAUUGCAGAAUUCAGUGAAUCAUCGAGUCUUUGAACGCACAUUGCGCCCCCUGGCAUUCCGGGGGGCAUGCCUGUCCGAGCGUCAUUGCUGCCCAUCAAGCCCGGCUUGUGUGUUGGGUCGUCGUCCCCCCCGGGGGACGGGCCCGAAAGGCAGCGGCGGCACCGUGUCCGGUCCUCGAGCGUAUGGGGCUUUGUCACCCGCUCGAUUUAGGGCCGGCCGGGCGCCAGCCGACGUCCAACCAUUUUUCUUCAGGUUGACCUCGGAUCAGGUAGGGAUACCCGCUGAACUUAAGCAUAUCAAUAAGCGGAGGAAAAGAAACCAACCGGGAUUGCCCCAGUAACGGCGAGUGAAGCGGCAAGAGCUCAAAUUUGAAAUCUGGCCCCUCCGGGGUCCGAGUUGUAAUUUGCAGAGGAUGCUUCGGG